rnacentral:misc_RNA from 1 species
AACGGGGUUUGGAAGUUUGUAUGAAAGUCCUAUGUUUUUGAAGUAAGAGACUUGAAAUUUAAAAUGUAUGCUCUAUAGAUAGUGAGAAGGUGUUCAAAUAAUGUGUCUUUAGAAAUCAACUCCCUUUUGGGGUUAAAACGGGGGACAGUAGGUCGGCUCACUGAUCACGAAAUCUCCGAAACUAUAACAGUUACAAACUUGAAAUUUGGCAGAAAGGCUCCUUAUAGGGACGUAGGGGCGUAGACAUCCGCUAAGAACGAAUUUUACAAAAUUCGACCCUUAAGG